UGUACGAACCAAAUGUUAGUGUAGAUUGUAGUAAAGGAUGUGAGAGAAUAACUUGAAGAAUUAAAAUUAAAAUGAAAUGAAUGGUUGUGUCUCUUGUUGAAUUAGUUAUUCUUAUGAAAAGAUAUGUCUUUUCAUUUGAUUCAAAGAGAUGUAUCUCUUUACGAAGAGACGUAUCUCUUUACGAAGAGACGCAUUUCUUCACGAAGAGAUAUGAACGUUUUGUGAAAGAGUAUGUCUUUUCGUUAUUCGUGAAAGGACGUGUCCUUUUGUGAAAAGAUAUAACUUUAAAGGUUGUGUCCCUUCAUCGUAACCAUUCACCUCCUAUAAAUAGGAGAUGUUCGAAAGCUUCAAGGGUAUUAUUAAUCAAUACUUUCUCCUUCCUAAUUUUUAUUGAUGCUUAAGAGAGAAGUUCUUAAGGGAAAGUAUUCAAAAGUGUUGUUUGCAGUCUUUCGGCGGUCUUGUUGUAUCCUGGAGGUGAUUUGCUGGUAACCUGAUAGCAUACAUUCGAGUGAGGGCAAAUAACACCUUAAAGAAAGUGAACUUACACGCCUCAAGACCAUAAUUUACUUGAUCUCCAUUCAUAUUCCCCAAUAAUUUUAAGGUGUUAUUAUUUAAUGGAGACAAACACUAAGGCGACUUUCAAGAUGAUAAAUCAAGACUCUAUGAAACUGAACCAAUUCAAUGGGACCAACUUCACUCGAUGGAAAGAUAAGAUGAUGUUCUUACUUAUUGCACUGAAGAUAGCCUACAUUCUGGACCCCAAUUUGUCAGAUAUUUCUGCACCGACUGAUGCAGAUACUGAUGAAGUGAGGGCGACACGUAAAAAAUGCAAGGAGGAUGAACUACUAUGCAGAGGACAUAUUCUCAAUACCUUGUCAGAUAAUUUAUAUGACUUAUUUGCAUCAAUCCAAUCACCAAGAGAAAUAUGGAACUCUCUAGAAGCAAGAUAUAAUACUGAAAAGCAAGGCACAGAUAAGUUUUUAAUUAUGAAAUAUUUUGAAUUUACUAUGGUAGAAAACUUAUCAAUAAUGCAACAAGUACAUGAAUUACAAAUUUUGGUUUCUAAGCUUAAAGAGUUAGAGAUUUCUCUUCCAGAAUCUUUUCAAGUCGGGGCUAUUAUUGCAAAAUUGCCUCGUAACUGGAAUGAUUAUAGAAAGAAACUUUUACACACUACAGAAGAUUUUACUUUAGAGCAAAUUCAGAAACACUUGAGAAUUGAGGAGGAAACUCGGAACCACUACCUAAAAAAUGAUGUUCAAUAUAGCUUUAAAGUAAAUCAAGUAGAUGAAAAUAAAAAUCAAAAGUUUUCUAGAAAUAAGAGAACAUUUUCUGAAUCAAAUAACUCCAAGAUAAAAAAGGACAGGAUUUGUUAUCACUGUGGAAAGAAGGGUCACUAUAAAAGUGAGUGCAGAUACAUGAAGAAAUUUAAGAAGGAAGACACUAAUAAGGCCAACAUGAUUGAACAACAAACCACAGAACUUAUUGCAAUGAUUUCUGACAUGCAUAUAAGCAUGGUUACCGAACUUCACAUGGCAACAGCAAGUAAGUCGCUGGAUUGGUAGUAUGAUUCGGGUGCUACUGUUCAUGUCUGUAACAACAAAUCUCAAUUUAAAGAUUAUGAAGAGGCAGCAGAUGGUCAAGAAGUGUUGAUGGGAAAUCACGGUGCCGCAAAAGUUCUAGGAAAGGGCAGCGUUGAGCUUUUCUUCACUUCUGGAAAGAAACUCUUACUUAUCAAUGUACUCCAUGUUCCAGAUAUUGUAAAAAAUCUUGUGUCUGCAAAUUUGCUGUGUAAAAGAGGGAUAAAAGCUGUACUAGAGUCGGAUAAGGUGAUUCUGUCAAAGAAUGGAGUAUUUGUAGGAAAGGGAUACUCUUAUAAUGGAAUGUUUAAGCUUAGUAUCAAUAAUAAAAAUAAUAAUAUUUCUGCUUGUAUGGUUGAUUGUUCUAUUUCUUUGUGGCAUAAUCGUUUAGCACAUAUAAAUUAUAAUUCCUUAGAAUUUAUGGCUAAAAAUGGUUUAAUUUCAUAUAAUCAUAAUAAUAAAGAAAAUUGUGAAAUAUGCAUUCAAGCUAAAAUGGCUAGAAAACCUUUUCCUAAAGUAGAGAGAAAAAAUAUUGAUUUAUUGGAACUUGUGCAUUCAGAUAUUUGUGAAUUAAAUGGUCAUUUAACUAGAGGUGGAAAUAGAUACUUUAUUACCUUUAUUGAUGACCAUUCUAGAUAUGCAUAUGUUUACUUAAUGAAGCAAAAGGAUCAAGCUUGCAUGCCUGCAGGUCGACUCUAGAGGAUCCCCGGGUACCGAGCUCGAAUUCGCCCUAUAGUGAGUCGUAUUACAAUUCACUGGCCGUCGUUUUACAACGUCGUGACUGGGAAAACCCUGGCGUUACCCAACUUAAUCGCCUUGCAGCACAUCCCCCUUUCGCCAGCUGGCGUAAUAGCGAAGAGGCCCGCACCGAUCGCCCUUCCCAACAGUUGCGCAGCUGAAUGGGCAGUCGCCCACAACCGCCCACAGCCCCGACCGAAUUGAUACGCCGUAGUCUCGUCUAACAUGACUCUCCCGUGGUAUACGCCACACUUUAUGGCGUGUCUACGCAUUCCUCUUUUAUGGCGUAGUCCGCGGUAAGCNAAAGGGAUACUCUUGUAAUGGAAUGUUUAAGCUUAGUAUCAAUAAUAAAAAUAAUAAUAUUUCUGCUUAUAUUGUUGAUUGUUCUAUUUCUUUGUGGCAUAAUCGUUUAGCACAUUUAAUUCACAAAUAUCUGAAUGCACAAGUUCUAAUAGAUGCAUAUAUUUACUUAAUGAAGCAAAAGGAUCAAGCUUUAGAAAUGUUUAAAUGUUAUAAAUCUAUUGUUGAAAAUCAAAAAGAAAAGAAAAUUAAGAUUUUGAGAAGUGAUAGAGGAGGAGAAUACCUCUCUACGGAAUUCUCGAUAUAUUGUGAAGAAAAUGGUAUUAUACACCAAACUAGUGCACCAUACACUCCACAACAUAAUGGAUUGGCAGAAAGAAAGAAUAGGACGUUAGUCGAUAUGGUUAAUGCUAUGAUUUUAAAUGCAAAAUUGCUUUUCAAUUUGUGGGGGGAGGCAUUACUUACAGCCUGUCAUGUGCACAAUAGAAUACCCUCUAGAAAAAUAAAAAUAUCUCCAUAUGAACUAUGGAAAGGAAGAAGUCCAAACUUAAAUUAUCUCAGAGUUUGGGGUUGUUUAGCCUUUUAUAGAGUUCCAGACCCUAAAAGAUAUAAAUUGGGACCUAGAGCUCUAAAAUGUGUGUUUAUAGGAUAUGCUGAAAAUUCUAAAGCAUAUAGAUUACUGGAUUUGGAAUCAAAUGUUAUUAUGGAAUCAAAAGAUGUUGAAUUUUUAGAAAACAAAUUUAUCAAUGAUUCCAAUUCUAUUCCAGAAUCUACACAAACAAAAGUAGCCAGCACUAAUUCUAAUAUAUCUUCUAACUAUAAAAGAAAAAUGACAGUAACUUCUAGUGAACCUAGGAAGAGUCAAAGAGUUAGAAAAGAAAAGAGUUUAGAUCCUGAUUUUGUAUCCUUUCUUGUAGAAGGAAGUAGAAUAAAUGUUCUAAAUAAAAUACCAAUUCUAUUCAAUAUAGAAGAUGAUCCAAAAACAUUUACAGAAGCCAUGACUUCCAGAGAUGCAGCAUUCUGGAAAGAGGCAGUAAAUGAUGAAAUGGAUUCGUUAUUAUCUAAUAAUACUUGGGUUCUAGUUGACUUACCACCUGGAUCAAAAUCAAUUGGAUGCAAAUGGGUAUUUAGAAAAAAGUAUAAUACGAAUGGAUCUAUACAAACGUUUAAAGCAAGAUUAAUAGCUAAAGGAUAUAAGUAAAAAGAGGGUGUGGAUUAUUUUGACACUUUUGCACCAGUGGCUAGGAUAACAUCCAUUAGAGUGUUAUUAGCACUCAGUUCAAUUUAUAAUCUUUUUGUACAUCAAAUGGAUGUUAAAACAGCAUUUUUAAAUGGUGAACUAGAUGAAGAAGUCUACAUGGAUCAACCUGAAGGGUUUGAAUUAUCUGGAAAUGAAAAGAAAGUUUGUAAAUUAAUUAAGUCAUUAUAUGGCUUGAAGCAAGCGCCAAAACAAUGGCAUGAAAAAUUUGAUUCUAUAAUAUUGUCCCAUGGAUUUAAAUACAAUAAUGCAGAUAAAUGCAUUUAUUCUAAAUUCACAGAAGAAUAUGGUGUGAUAAUAUGUUUAUAUAUUGAUGACAUGCUUAUAAUUGGGACAAAUAUGAAUGGGAUAAAUGAAACAAAGAAAUAUCUAACUUCUAUAUUCAAAAUGAAAGAUUUAAAUGAAGUAGAUACUAUCUUGGGAAUAAAAGUGAAAAAACACAGUGGAGGUUAUGCUUUAUCUCAGAUGCACUAUAUUGAGAAAAUGAUUUUAAAAUAUAAUCAUUUAGGAAUUAAAGAAGUAAGUACACCAUAUGAUGUUUCUGUUAAAUUAGUUGAAAAUUCUGGAAGAGCGAUUACUCAAAUAGAAUAUGCAAGUGCAAUAGGCAGUCUGAUGUAUGCAGCGCAUUGCACUAGACCACAUAUCGCAUUUGCAGUCUGCAAACUUUCUAGAUAUACAAGUAAUCCUAGUACUGAUCAUUGGAAGGCUAUAAGUAGAGUUUUUGGAUAUCUUAAAAGAACUAAAAACUUGGGAUUAUUUUAUAAUAAUUUUCCAGCAGUGCUAGAAGGUUUUACUGAUGCUAGUUGGAUAACUAGCGUAAGUGAUAAUAAAUCUAUAUCUGGAUGGGUAUUUAUUCUAGAAGGUGGAGCAAUCUCCUGGGCUUCAAAGAAACAGACGUGUGUAACACAUUCUACAAUGGAAUCUGAAUUUGUAGCGUUGGCAGCUGCAGGCAAAGAAGCGGAGUGGCUGAAAAAUUUACUGUUUGAUAUAAAGUUGUGGCCACAACCGAUGCCGCCCAUUUCUUUGCACUGUGAUAGUCAAGCAACAAUGUCUAGGGCACUCAGCCAGGUAUAUAAUGGCAAGUCUAGACAUAUAAGUUUAAGGCAUGACUAUGUUAAAGAAUUGAUAAAAGAAGGAAUAAUUACUAUCAUAUAUGUGAGGUCUUGCAGUAAUUUAGCAGACCCUUUCACAAAAGGACUCUCGAGAGAUAUAAUAAAAUCUACAUCAGUUGGAUUAGGUUUGAAGCCUUUCUUUUAAAAGUCACCAUUAAUGGGAACCCAACCUUUAUCUAGUUAUACCACUAGUGAAAAGGUUUAAUGGGUAAAAACAAGUUAUUGAUAAGUAAUUGUGAAUACACUAGGAAUGUCGUUUAAAUAUCCAGUGUAUACUGUUACGGAAUUGGAGGAUGAGUGAUGAUACUCUUAGUGAAGUUCAAGUUUAUUUGAUGCCUAUCGUAACAAAGGCAGUAGAAAAGGAACUUCACCUAUGUGAGCAUAAGAAGUGGUGCCGCUUCUGGCAAAAGUUAAGGCUUACUUUUGUAAAUGUUCAUGAAACCAGGAGGUAGCACAUGGCCAUAAAGGUGCUAAACUUAUUCGGUGAACUUCUUAAUUAAGUUUAUAGAUUUGUGUGUGUGUUAUUUCCGGUUCUAAUAUAAAGAAUCUUGGUUUAAGCCUUGGCCACCAUUGAUUUUGUUGGAACUUUGAGAUAAUUACACUAAUUGAAGGUUUAAUCGAAAGACACCUUCUUGCAUGCAUAAGUCUAUUAUAAAUCAGUAUUACAAUCUAGUGGGAGAUUGUUAGUGUAGAUUGUAAUAAAGGAUGUGAGAGAAUAACUUGAAGAAUUAAAAUUAAAAUGAAAUGAAUGGUUGUGUCUCUUGUUGAAUUAGUUAUUCUUAUGAAAAGAUAUGUCUUUUCAUUUGAUUCAAAGAGAUGUAUCUCUUUACGAAGAGACGCAUUUCUUCACGAAAAGAUAUGAACCUUUUGUGAAAGAGUAUAUCUUUUCGUUAUUCGUGAAAGGACGUGUCCUUUUGUGAAAGGAUGUAACUUUAAAGAUUGUGUCCCUUCAUCGUAACCAUUCACCUUCUAUAAAUAGGAGAUGUUUGAAGGCUUCAAGGGCAUUAUUAAUCAAUACUUUUUCCUUCCUAAUUUUUAUUGAUGCUUAAGAGAGAAGUUCUUAAGGGAAAGUAUUCAAAAGUGCUAUUUGCAGUCUUUCGGCGGUCUUGUUGUAUCCUGGAGGUGAUUUGCUGGUAACCUGACAGCAUACAUUCGAGUGGGGCAAAU
rnacentral:lncRNA from 1 species